GGAGCCGCUCCCGGAGCCGCCGCCGGAUCCGCCGCCGGAUCCGCCGCCAUCGGGGCCGCGCCGGGGCCGCGCAGAAAAUCCAAAAAAUGGCGAAGUUUGUGGCCCCCGUGAUCCAGGACAACCCCUCCGGCUGGGGCCCGUGCGCUGUGCCCGAGCAGUUCAAGGACAUGCCGUACCAGCCCUUCAGCAAGGGAGACCGGCUGGGCAAGGUGGCCGACUGGACAGGAGCCACGUACCAGGAUAAAAGAUACACAAACAAGUACUCGUCCCAGUUCGGCGGCGGAAGCCAAUACGCCUAUUUCCAUGAGGAGGAUGAGACCAGCUUCCAGCUGGUGGACACGGCGCGGACGCAGAAAACCGCGUACCAGAGGAACCGCAUGAGGUUUGCACAGAGGAACCUUCGGAGAGACAAGGACCGUCGGAACAUGCUGCAGUUCAGCAUGCAGACGCUGCCAAAGAGUGCCAAGCAGAAGGAGAGAGAUCGUUUGCGCCUACAAAAGAAGUUUCAGAAGCAGUUUGGAGUGAGGCAGAAGUGGGACCAGAAAUCACAGCAGAAACCUCGUGACUCCUCUGUUGAAGUUCGCAGCGACUGGGAGGUGAAGGAGGAGAUGGAUUUCCCUCGGCUGAUGAAAAUGCGCUAUCUGGAGGUGUCAGAGCCUCAGGACAUAGAGUGCUGUGGAGCCCUGGAGUACUAUGACAAAGCCUUUGACCGCAUUACAACAAGGAAUGAGAAGCUCCUGAGGAGCAUUAAGCGCAUCUUCCAUACCGUCACCACUACGGAUGACCCGGUUAUCCGAAAGCUGGCCAAGACACAAGGGAAUGUGUUUGCCACAGAUGCCAUCCUGGCCACACUGAUGAGCUGCACUCGUUCUGUCUAUUCCUGGGACAUCAUUGUCCAGAGAGUUGGAUCCAAGCUUUUCUUUGACAAGAGGGACAACUCAGAUUUUGACCUCCUCACAGUGAGUGAAACAGCCAAUGAACCACCACAGGAAGAGGGCAACUCCUUUAAUUCUCCACGCAACCUGGCCAUGGAAGCUACCUACAUCAAUCAUAACUUCUCCCAGCAGUGUCUGAGGAUGGGAAAGGAGAAGUACAAGUUUCCCAACCCAAACCCCUUUGUGGAGGAUGACAUGGAUAAAAAUGAAGUAGCCUCUGUUGCGUACAGGUACCGAAGGUGGAAGCUGGGAGAUGAUAUAGAUCUCAUUGUCCGCUGUGAACAUGAUGGAGUAAUGACAGGAGCUAAUGGAGAAGUGUCAUUCAUCAACAUCAAAACACUGAACGAGUGGGAUUCGAGGGUGAGGAAGAACAGGAUCCCCAAGCUAGCUCUAACUGCUUCACUGCUGCCUGACAUGCCAGUAUUGCAAUGGGGUAGACUGGCGCCAGAAGCUGGACUCUCAGAGAGGGGCUGUCAUUGCCACGGAGCUGAAGAACAACAGCUACAAACUGGCCCGCUGGACUUGCUGUGCACUGCUGGCUGGAUCAGAGUAUCUUAAACUCGGGUACGUGUCCCGUUACCACGUGAAGGAUUCUGCCCGCCACGUGAUCCUGGGCACACAGCAGUUCAAGCCAAAUGAAUUUGCCAGCCAGAUUAAUCUGAGCAUAGAGAACGCCUGGGGCAUCCUGCGAUGCGUCAUUGACAUCUGCAUGAAGCUGGAUGAGGGGAAGUACCUCAUCCUGAAGGACCCCAACAAGCAGGUGAUCCGCAUCUACAGUUUGCCUGAUGGCACCUUCAGCUCUGAUGAAGAUGAGGAGGAUGAGGAGGAAGAAGAGGAAGAGGAAGAGGAAGAGAGCUGAACCCUGCAACCAGCACCGAGGGGCUGCAGUGCCCGGGCAGCCCCGGUCCCGGGGCUGGGCUGCGGCUGUACCUUUGCCGCGGCUGUGCUGCACAUCGAUCAUAAACGGGGGGAAAGCGGAAUAAAGUUGAUUUUGCCGAGUG